rnacentral:lncRNA from 1 species
AGCAAAUGCUUAAUGAAUUGAGUCAGUUUGUAUCUACGGAACCUUGAACGUAAAGGCUGAAUUGUCAUGGGCUGUGAUUAUUUGGUUGGCAAACCUGAGAGAGAACGUCCUUCUCAGCAGCUCGCAGAUGCCUCUCAAUGUGUUUACCCCUGGAGGCUGCCAUAUGGCUUGAUGUGGCACUGCUCCUUGCAGCAGCUGGGAAAAAGAGUGCCUUGGUCCUGAAGGAGACAUCUGGGUGGUACAUCACAGCAUCCGUGACACACAAGAAGUAAAGCCAGGUUUAGAACCCAGGCAGUCAGAUUCCACAGCCUGGAUGCUUAACCGCUGCCCUCUACUGCUUGGAAGCAUCUAGAGGAAGUAUUUUGAAGAGCAAAACAGACCGAAUGUCUGGAUGUUUCCUUCCUGUGGCCCUGCACUCACUUGGAGAAACAUUUCGAUCAAAUUCGAGCAGGUUUGCCUCAUUAGGUUUUUUGUUCAUCCUUGUCAAGAUUUCCCACUUGGCCACUGUGGCAUUAUUUCCUUGGUUGGCCAUCUCAGGGGAGAGGAGGUGGUGACGAGGAGGCCUCUGCUGAGAAAGGAAAGGUUUAACAAGGAGUUGCUGCCCUGCCUUGCCAUCAGCCCCUACAGCCCCCAUGGAAACAGCACAUUCUAUUUAACAAGGACUUCAGGUUGCAAGUCCUGUUCGGCCAUCUCCCUCCUUGCCCUCCCCACACCUCCCUGCCCCUGAGCCACGGCCUCUUUGGGGAAGGGAGGAGGGUUGCUCUCCUGCUAUUGAACCUGAACUGGAAACCAGCUCCGUGAGCUCAGUUUUCUCUGAACAUAACUGUUGGCUCCCUCUUCUUCCAAAGGAAAAUUUACAGCUCCAAUUUUUACAAUUUACAUCUUUCAUUUAAUAUUCCAGCCUUCUUUCCCCAAGGCUUUCAGCACAGCUCAUGUCAGAAGGGACUACUUAUUUCCUGAACCCUUUUUGCAUUAUUAGUUUCAUUUAUUAUUUUUAUGUUUUCUAUUGGGUCCAUGUACAUAACGUUUCUCUGAGAUCCC